CAUCAUAGUAAAUCAGUUUUUCUUCUCAAUCUUGUACGGUUUUGAUUUACAUGUUAGUGAUCACUUUCACUGCAGCCUGACCCAACAUUUCGCUCCAGCAGGAUUUACAACAUAUUAAUGACAUAAAGUUACAGAAUGAUGCACAUGAAAAGCUUUAGGCUCCAGCUUCAUUUGCAUAACAGGAAGCAGGAAAAUGCCCAGUGUUGCACUUUUGUGAUUUUCAAUGUGCAAUAGCAUGACAAGCCUUUAAAAAA